rnacentral:lncRNA from 1 species
AAGCUUAGAGAGUUCCCCCAUCAUACCACAUAUCAUACAAUCACAAAGCAUACAUACUGCCGGGCAAUUCUGAGGUGACGACCUACCCGGUACGACCAAUCUAGGGUGUCGACCUACCCGUGUCAAGCCAUUCUGGGGUGCUGACCUACCCGUCGGUCCUAACAACCGACCCUCGGGGACUAUUCCACCCCAUACUGCUACUAUCACAUAUAUCAUAACAUAAACAUACCUUCAGACAUAUCUGGGGUGUCCGAACUACCCUUCUGUCCUAACAACCGAAAUUGGGGACUAUUCCCCUCCUACAACCACUAUCACAUAUAACAUAUCAUGCCAACAUAUAAACAUAUCAUCACAUACUGUCAGACGUAUCUGGGGUGUGUGACCUACCCUUCGGUCCUAACAACCGAACUCUACUACUAUCACAUAUAACAUAUCAUGCCAACAUAUAACAUAUCAGGUAGUAGCAAACCUAGAUGAUAUCACAAAGACAAUCAUCUAACAUACAACUCCUACUGGUGGGUCGACAUUGUGGCCGUAGACCCACCGCUAUUGGAAGGUAACUCACCUCACACUGCUGAAGUCCCGUAGACACAAUCUCACACUUGUUGAAGUCCCG